UACGGGGGGAGCAAGCGUUGUUCGGAAUUACUGGGCGUAAAGCGUGCGCAGGCGGCGCGUUAAGACAGGUGUGAAAGCCCCGAGCUUAACUUGGGAAUUGCGCUUGUGACUGGCGAGCUGGAGUGUGGCAGAGGGAGGUGGAAUUCCACGUGUAGCAGUGAAAUGCGUAGAGAUGUGGAGGAACACCGAUGGCGAAGGCAGCCUCCUGGGCCAGCACUGACGCUCAUGCACGAAAGCGUGGGGAGCAAACAGG
rnacentral:rRNA from 1 species